AUUGAACGCUGGCGGCAUGCCUCACACAUGCAAGUCGAACGGUAACAGGGACUUCGGUCCGCUGACGAGUGGCGAACGGGUGAGUAAUAUGCAGGAAUAUACCUAUAGGUGGGGGAUAACUACUCGAAAGAGUGGCUAAUACCGCAUAAUAUCUACGGAUUAAAGCGGGGGAUCGCAAGAUCUCGUGCCAAUAGAAUAGCCUACAUCCGAUUAGCUAGUUGGUAGAGUAAAAGCCUACCAAGGCAACGAUCGGUAACUGGUCUGAGAGGAUGAUCGGUCACACUGGAACUGAGACACGGUCCAGACUCCUACGGGAGGCAGCAGUGGGGAAUUUUGGACAAUGGGCGAAAGCCUGAUCCAGCAAUGCCGCGUGGGUGAAGAAGGCCUUCGGGUUGUAAAGCCCUUUCGGAUAGAAAGAAAACUCUUACUCUAACAUAGUGAGAGAAUGACGGUACUAUCAUAAGAAGCACCGGCUAACUACGUGCCAGCAGCCGCAGUAAAAC
rnacentral:rRNA from 1 species